UAACGGCGAGUGAACAGGCAAGAGCUCAGAUUUGAAAGGCACUUUUGUGCCGUUGUAUUCUGAAGUUAGGGUCCUGAGAAACGAUGCUUAAGUCUUCUGGAAAGGAGCGCCAUGGAGGGUGAUAGCCCCGUCUAGCAUUGACCUCAUAUAGGAUCUUAACAUGGAGUCGAGUUGUUUGGGAAUGCAGCUCAAAUGGGUGGUAUGCUCCAUCUAAAGCUAAAUAUCUGCGAGAGACCGAUAGUAAACAAGUACUGUGAGGGAAAGAUGAAAAGAACUUUGAAAAGAGAGUGAAAAAGUACGUGAAAUUGUUGAAAUGGAAGGGUAGGCCGCUAACCAUGUAGAGCCGUGUUUGGGGGGAAGAUAAAUGCUGUAGAAUGUAGCUCCUCGGAGUAUUAUAGAUGCAGUUCAUAUUCCCACCCGAGCGCGAGGAUCUCAGGUUCUACUAAAUGGUGGUCUACCACCCGUCUUGAAACACGGACCA
rnacentral:rRNA from 1 species